CCAGUAAUUUGUGUGCUCGCAGAGCAUUUUCCAUCACAUGAGCCUGAAAUGGAAGAGGAUUUAUGGAAUGGAGAGCAUGAGGCACCAAUUCAGCAAAUACCAGAGUGUGUAUCCGUGGUUCAUCAUUAUGGAGGCUGUUGGUGGCCCUGCCUAUGCUCUGAUGCUUCCUCUGGAGUUCAGCUUCGAAGUAAAUCUCACAUCACACUGCAAACUUUUUUUCAAGCCAGAGACCUGUCUGUAAUUCGUAGCUCACCAGGGUCUGCAGGCCAGAGGCUGAAAAGUGUUGCAUCAAAGGAGCUGAGUGCUGGAGAUGUGGCUGAGAUGGAAAUGAAGGUCUAAAGUCCCAGAAUGGAAACCACCCAGGCCUCCUUGCUCAACUCCCUUCUGAUGCUCUCAGCACUAAGCUCUUGUUACAUCAGCUUACCUAAAGGAGAUGGCAGUCAUGGCCAUAUCCAUGUGCAUCGCUGUGGGUGUGAGCGUGCAGAUGAACUCCUGUAUGCUUGGGGCAGCCUGGAACAGAAACAGAAAGCUCCAAGUAUCGUACUUCGUCGAACUCCCUUCUUUGGAGUAAUGGAAAGGAGAAGAGGCCUUGUGGGAAUUGAUUCCUAUGAAAAUGGCACAUGUUUCUCAUUCUGCAGAAGCCCAGCGGCAGCAAAAGGGAUGGAGCAGCACAAGGCCAAGCGUCAAGGCAGGAGAAGUGGAAGAGAAAGAACUCUGACCCACAGAGGAGCAAGAAGCUGCCUUCCCUACCACCAAAUAAUUCCUCUUCCUCAUUGGUGUGAAAUCCUGGCUACGCUGAAGUCAAUGGAAGUCUCAACAUCAGCUUUGACCAGGCUGCAAACAAGGUCAAAACAACCAUUCUGGGUAAUAAGAGACCUCCAUCACAUCAACUUGCUGCAUAAUUCCCUUCUGUCAGACUGACUUCGUAGGCUUGGAUUUUCUUGCCUGCCUCUCUACCAGAUUAAAAGACCCCUGCAAGCGAAGUCUACAAACAGUAAGAAAAAGUCCCAUGUUCUCAAGGAAAAAAUGAGAAAUUCAGGUGCUAAAAAAUGGAAAAUCUCCAGCAAUACUUGUGUUUACCUCUUGUCUCUCUAGAGAUGCCUUUACUGUCUCAUGAUAUGUGUUUACUUGGGAGAAUUGGGAGAAAUAGGCAGAAUCAUAGAAUCAUAGAAUCACAAGGUUGGAAACAACCUAUAAGAUCAUCUAGUCCAACCGACAACCGACAGAACUGAGUGGUGAUGGGACCCUGGUCUUAUGCAGCCAUGUAUCUCUACAUGGAAGGCAUUAGGAGGAGGUGGGUCCAUGGCAUGUUCUCUCAGACCUUGGGAAAGAAGCCUGGGAGCUUCACAUCCCCCCGCGUGAGGAGGAGAUGGGAAACAGCACAGACCACUCCGUCUUAAGGCUUUCCCAUCACACUGAUUUUAUUUGUGUUUUGAGAUAACUCAAGAAUCGCCGUGGCUUGCUUACAGAACCGUGGUGGUGCUGGGAAUCUCAGGGAGGGUCAGGGCAGGCAGUUUGCUUUGGCAGGCACGGUGUGAGCGCAUGGGGUGAAGGCUGACCACCUCCUUCACUCCUCACUGACGGGUUGGCCAUUUUCCUUGGGUGGUGGCCAGCCAUUCCUGCUAGAUUCACAUUACAGGGCUGCGUUUGCACUCUUCUACAUCAUCCCAGGCAUCCAGAUGUGUGACAGACGUGCACGCAUGCACUGCACUGCGGAUGCUGUAUUUUGGCUGCAGCUGAGGUAAAUAUUAUUUCUGUAUCAUGAGGAGGAUGAAAUAAUACCUCUGGAGGAUUUGGAAGAAAGAUGGAGGAGACUCAGUUUAUCAUGGUCUGCCUAUAGCUUUUUUCACUUGAGCACGUUGUCGUGCAACAAGAAAUAAAGCAGGAGAAGAAAAUGCA
rnacentral:lncRNA from 1 species